rnacentral:rRNA from 1 species
UACGCAGUGGGCUAGCGUUGCUCGGAAUCACUGGGCGUAAAGGGUGCGUAGGCGGGUCUUUACGUCAGGGGUGAAAUCCUGGAGCUCAACUCCAGAACUGCCUUUGAUACUGAGGAUCUUGAGUUCGGGAGAGGUGAGUGGAACUGCGAGUGUAGAGGUGAAAUUCGUAGAUAUUCGCAAGAACACCAGUGGCGAAGGCGGCUCACUGGCCCGAUACUGACGCUGAGGCACGAAAGCGUGGGGAGCAAACAGG